GAUGGAACGCAGCGAAAUGCGAUAAGUAAUGUGAAUUGCAGAAUUCAGUGAAUCAUCGAAUCUUUGAACGCACAUUGCGCCCGCCAGUAUUCUGGCGGGCAUGCCUGUCCGAGCGUCAUUUCAACCAUCAAGCCCCCGGGCUUGUGUUGGGGACCUGCGGCUGCCCGCAGGCCCUGAAAACCAGUGGCGGGCUCGCUGUCACACCGAGCGUAGUAGCAAUCACCUCGCUCAGGGCGUGCUGCGGGUUCCGGCCGUUAAACAGCCUUACAAAACCCAAGGUUGACCUCGGAUCAGGUAGGAAGACCCGCUGAACUUAAGCAUAUCAAAAGCGGAGGA
rnacentral:misc_RNA from 1 species